AAAAAUAGGCAUUAGCGGCAGUUUUUUAGCUAGCACAUGGGUGACUGCUGUAGAAAUUUUAAGACUUUGUCGGUGCCACUUAAACCCUGCGAAACCUAGGAUUUUCCCUCUCCCGCUCUUCUAAUUUCUCAGCCUUUCGUAUUCCCACUCUCCUCUCUCUUUCUCUCUCAGUAGACCAGUUUUUCAUCUCUUAUUCCCAAUCUCUCUCUCUCUCUCUCUCAUCGGCAACUGAAUCUCUCUUUGAAGCUUGAGUGCAAUAACAAGUGGGAGACUUUCUUAGAUCUUAAGUUCAUGUUCAUUUCCCAAUGAAAUAGACUUCUCAUAAUCACCUCACAAUCUUAUUGAUUCAAUGAAGGCCCUCUCUCUCUCUCUCCAACAAUCUUCGUUGGAUUUUCUUUUUUCUAAAACAACCUCCUCGUCUCAAGUUCUCACAUCUCACAUCCUUGUUCAUUCAUCACCGACAAAAGAUAAGAUUGGUUUGUAUAUAGUGUUACAUCAUCUACAGGAAAAAACCAGGUUUGAGUGCACAUGCCAAUGAUCCCUAAAAGGUUGUAGAUUCUUUGCUAUCUCUUUUGGAGCAAGUAGAAGAUGUUGUUCCUAAAGAGUUGCGUCACAAGACACCAGUCAGAGUUGGGGCAAUGGUAGGUCUAAGGGCAUUGGGAGGUGAUGCUUCAGAUAGAAUUUUUCAAGUGGUCAGGGAUUUUCUUGAAGACAAAAGUUCUUUGAAGUCAAAACCAGAGUGGGCUUUCUAUGAUUUGAUGAUGUGGGAGAAGAAAUGUGGUAUGUUACUGGAUGGAAUAGCAUAGAUACAGCAAGGACGACUCCAUUACCACCAUAAAGAAGGAUUAGAGACCCAGAUUUUUUUGUCACUCUCUUACAGGGAAUUUAUACUAUUUAUGUUGAGAAGCUAUGCAGAGGUGGAAAUCUAUUGGAUGUUGCAAGAUUACUACAUCAUCUACGCAAUAAGUAGUUAUUCUUGAGUGCAAAUUCAUAUAAUGCCCUCUUGAUGGCCACUGGUGAAGGGAAUUAUUUUGAGCUUCUGUUUCAAAUAUUUAAGGAUUUCUUGGUCUCCUGUCAAACUUUGAGUUCAAUUUCAUAUUUUAAUCUUGCUAAUGGCCUUUCAAAGGCAACAGAUUCUAUGCUUUUACUUAAGUUCAUAAGAGAAGUAUUAGAAAUAACAUUUCCAAGAAGUGCAACGAUCAUACACGAUCAUUUAUGGCUUCGUUGAAUACAAGCAUAUUGACAAAGUGCUCUUGAUAUCUAGACAGGAUUUUGGGAGCUUGAGGAAUUCUACUUUUCUCUCAUAUCCAAAGAGGAGAAGUUCUCUCUCAUAUCCAGACAAGAUUUUGAGAGAAGUCGAAAAGAAGAUUUUGUAAAUGACGUAAUUUGUAUUUUUAAGAAUGAAUGAAUGAAUGGAGAAUAAAUUUUUUUA